GAUGAAGAACGCAGCGAAAUGCGAUAAGUAGUGUGAAUUGCAGAAUUCAGUGAAUCAUCGAAUCUUUGAACGCACAUUGCGCCCGCCAGUAUUCUGGCGGGCAUGCCUGUCCGAGCGUCAUUUCAACCCUCGAACCCCUCCGGGGGGUCGGCGUUGGGGACCUCGGGAGCCCCUAAGACGGGAUCCCGGCCCCGAAAUACAGUGGCGGUCUCGCCGCAGCCUCUCCUGCGCAGUAGUUUGCACAACUCGCACCGGGAGCGCGGCGCGUCCACGUCCGUAAAACACCCAACUUCUGAAAUGUUGACCUCGGAUCAGGUAGGAAUACCCGCUGAACUUAAGCAUAUCAAUAAGCGGAGGA
rnacentral:misc_RNA from 1 species